UAGCAGUGAACUCAGAGAUCCACCUGCCUC
rnacentral:piRNA from 1 species